CCCUCACAAACUCAAUCUCAACAACAACUGAGAAGAACUCAACUGUUGUCACCGCCUCCUGCUGCUGUCGCCUGAUCUCGUCCUCUUUCCAGGCGAGUUCCAGUUCAUAGGCUCGUCACAUUUAAACACUAUAACAUAAAGGAGAUCACUCUUCGAUUUAUUGGACUGUUGUCCAAAGAACAAUAAGACCCUGCUGCAUCCACACAAACUGCAGAGUGUCUGAUCUGUAGCUGACAGUGACCUCUGACCUCCCAGAGAAUAACACAUUUCUGCACAUUACAUCACAUUAACCUACAAAACAUUGAACAAGAUCUGAGCAGCAGAAGAUUUAAUUCUCCUUUCAUAUGUGAACAACGUUGAAACACAAAAUAAAGCCCUGCCUACAUGGA